CCUACGGGAGGCAGCAGUGGGGGAUAUUGCACAAUGGGGGAAACCCUGAUGCAGCGACGCCGCGUGAGUGAAGAAGUAUUUCGGUAUGUAAAGCUCUAUCAGCAGGGAAGAAAAAAGACGGUAUCUGACUAAGAAGCCCCGGCUAACUACGUGACAGCAGCCGCGGUAUUACGGAGGAUGCGAGCGUUAUCCGGAUUUAUGGGGUUUAAAGGGUGCGUGGGGGGCCUGGUAAGUCUGCGGUAAAAGCACGGGGCUCAACCCCGGCGAGCCGUUGAAACUGGCUGGCUGGAGUUGGAGAGAAGUACGCGGAAUGCGCGGUGUAGCGGUGAAAUGCUUAGAUAUCGCGCAGAACCCCGAUGGCGAAGGCAGCGUACCGGCUCCACACUGACGCUGAGGCACGAAAGCGUGGGUAUCGAACAGGAUUAGAUACCCCUGUAGUC
rnacentral:rRNA from 1 species